rnacentral:tRNA from 1 species
GCUGGGGUGGCGGAACUGGUAGACGCGUACGUUUGAGGGGCGUAUGCCGAAAGGUGUGCGGGUUCGAAUCCCGCCCCCAGCACCA